rnacentral:rRNA from 1 species
UACGUAGGGUGCAAGCGUUGUCCGGAAUUAUUGGGCGUAAAGAGCUUGUAGGCGGUUUGUCGCGUCUGCUGUGAAAUUUCGGGGCUCAACCCCGAACUUGCAGUGGGUACGGGCAGACUAGAGUGUGGUAGGGGAGACUGGAAUUCCUGGUGUAGCGGUGAAAUGCGCAGAUAUCAGGAGGAACACCGAUGGCGAAGGCAGGUCUCUGGGCCAUAACUGACGCCGAGAAGCGAAAGCAUGGGGAGCGAACAGG